GCUGAGUAUUAGGCAAAUCCGGUACUCGUUAAGGCUGAGCUGUGAUGGGGAGAAGACAUUGUGUCUUCGAGUCGUUGAUUUCACACUGCCGAGAAAAGCCUCUAGAUAGAAAAUAGGUGCCCGUACCGCAAACCGACACAGGUAGUCAAGAUGAGAAUUCUAAGGUGAGCGAGCGAACUCUCGUUAAGGAACUCGGCAAAAUGACCCCGUAACUUCGGGAGAAGGGGUGCUCUUUAGGGUUAACGCCCAGAAGAGCCGCAGUGAAUAGGCCCAAGCGACUGUUUAUCAAAAACACAGGUCUCUGCUAAACCGUAAGGUGAUGUAUAGGGGCUGACGCCUGCCCGGUGCUGGAAGGUUAAGAGGAGUGGUUAGCUUCUGCGAAGCUACGAAUCGAAGCCCCAGUAAACGGCGGCCGUAACUAUAACGGUCCUAAGGUAGCGAAAUUCCUUGUCGGGUAAGUUCCGACCCGCACGAAAGGCGUAACGAUUUGGGCACUGUCUCAACGAGAGACUCGGUGAAAUCAUAGUACCUGUGAAGAUGCAGGUUACCCGCGACAGGACGGAAAGACCCCGUGGAGCUUUACUGUAGCCUGAUAUUGAAAUUCGGCACAGCUUGUACAGGAUAGGUAGGAGCCUUUGAAACGUGAGCGCUAGCUUACGUGGAGGCGCUGGUGGGAUACUACCCUAGCUGUGUUGGCUUUCUAACCCGCACCACUUAUCGUGGUGGGAGACAGUGUCAGGCGGGCAGUUUGACUGGGGCGGUCGCCUCCUAAAAGGUAACGGAGGCGCUCAAAGGUUCCCUCAGAAUGGUUGGAAAUCAUUCAUAGAGUGUAAAGGCAUAAGGGAGCUUGACUGCGAGACCUACAAGUCGAGCAGGGUCGAAAGACGGACUUAGUGAUCCGGUGGUUCCGCAUGGAAGGGCCAUCGCUCAACGGAUAAAAGCUACCCCGGGGAUAACAGGCUUAUCUCCCCCAAGAGUUCACAUCGACGGGGAGGUUUGGCACCUCGAUGUCGGCUCAUCGCAUCCUGGGGCUGUAGUCGGUCCCAAGGGUUGGGCUGUUCGCCCAUUAAAGCGGUACGCGAGCUGGGUUCAGAACGUCGUGAGACAGUUCGGUCCCUAUCCGUCGUGGGCGUAGGAAAUUUGAGAGGAGCUGUCCUUAGUACGAGAGGACCGGGAUGGACAUACCUCUGGUGUACCAGUUGUCGUGCCAACGGCAUAGCUGGGUAGCUAUGUGUGGACGGGAUAAGUGCUGAAAGCAUCUAAGCAUGAAGCCCCCCUCAAGAUGAGAUUUCCCAACUUCGGUUAUAAGAUCCCUCAAAGAUGAUGAGGUUAAUAGGUUCGAGGUGGAAGCAUGGUGACAU
rnacentral:rRNA from 1 species